UACGGAGGGUGCAAGCGUUGUUCGGAAUUACUGGGCGUAAAGCGCGUGUAGGCGGUCGCGUAAGUCUGAUGUGAAAGCCCGGGGCUCACCCCCGGAAGAGCAUUGGAAACUGCGCGACUAGAGUGCCGGAGAGGAGGGUGGAAUUCCUGGUGUAGCGGUGAAAUGCGUAGAUAUCAGGAGGAACACCGGUGGCGAAGGCGGCCCUCUGGACGGAUACUGACGCUGAGACGCGAAAGCGUGGGGAGUAAACAGG
rnacentral:rRNA from 1 species